CCAAAUGUACUCAAACCCCUAAUGGCCGUUCACGUUAAGCUUCUGGCCGCCGAUCUCCUCUCCCUCGCCGUCCACCACGCCUCCCGCCCUCCCUCUUUCACCCGGAAGGGUAAGCCCGUAUCGCGAGCCGAAGCCGUGGGUGUGGUGGUGAGCCGCGAGCGCAAGGACAAGUACCUCUCCUUCCUGGUGGACGACGGCAGCGGGUGCAUCCCCUGCAUCCUCUGGCUCAACCACCAGUCCGACCGCGAGCGCGACCUCGGCGUGGCCGCUGAGAUGGCUCGCGAGGAGGCCGCAGCCGUGCAGCUGGGGAAACUGGUCCGGGUCAGGGGGAGGAUCACGGCGUACAGGGGGGUGGUGCAGAUAACCGUCGGGGAUGUGGUGGUGGAGCGGGAUCCCAAUUCGGAGGUGCUGCACUGGUUGGAUUGCGUUAGGUUGGCCAAAUGCUGCUACGAUCCGCCUCCUUGAGCUCUUGCGGGAUGCAGUACACUACGGCUCCGACACACACCAAGCAUACGGGAAAAGAAGAAGAGUAUGAUCCUGAUCUCCUUUUGCAGAUGUUAGCAAAUACUUUCACGGAGGACCGGAAGCUUAGAAUGGCUAGCAACACUACACUAACUGUGACACCAAAUUUGCUGAUAAACCCCGAAUUCCUUGUCAGAUCGCAAGCUGAUAAACCUCUGGUUUGCAUUCAGAUAUCUGGUUCUUGUGAAAAAUGAAUGCUGAAUCAUCAUGUCAUAUUGGCGAAGAAGAAUAUAACGGACAAAGGGUUUGGUAGAGACUGAAGGAAGCGGCAUGGAUCCCAGACUCGUGGACGUCUCCAAGAGCUUGAUGGGCCCCAUCGGCGAUGAGAGGGAAUGUGGCGCUUGCCACGAUCGGUUCGCUUCUUGGAGUUUGCUACGGCGACUCGUCGAGUGCCAAGAGGACAGCAAGCGCCUCCAGGAUCAUAUAUCUCAACUCACAAGAUCGCGCCAGGAAGAUCGCAAGGAUGAUGCAAGUAAACUUCAGAAGGAGAAAGAGGAGUGCGAUAAGGGGUUUGGCGAAUGCACAGCUGAGAAGGGAUUGAUAGCCUGGUGGUACGAGAGGCUGCAUGGGGAGAAUUCGGCCCUUCUUCAGAAGGUGAAUACUUUGGAGGCUGAGAUCGAUUCCUUGAAGCACGACAAUGAAAACCUGGCAAGAAGUCUAGAAGCUGACAAGGAGAAGAAUCAAUCGGAUAAAGACUCCAAAUAGAGCAGUCUUCUGGUAAGAGGUUUUAGUAUAACACGUUCACAGCUUCUAUUGGCAUGCCUUGCGUAUGUUGGCUUUCCACAUUAUACCGUGAUAAUUCGUCGGUAGGCUAUUUCUCAUAGUUUGUGCAAUUUCCUUGCAAUAAUCAUAAUUUCUAAUAGUAAUAGUAGUUUCAUUGCAUCAUUUCUCUGUACUUCUUCUAUCAUAUAGUUUUCCAACCUGUGCAGGAGAAGUGAAAUUGAUGAUGAACCAAGCACUCAAUGACUGAAGCUACUGAAACCUCUUCUUCUUCUUCUUCUUCUUGUGUGUUUUUUGGUCAGCUAGUCUGCAUUUUGGUUGCAUUGCCAUUGUUCAGGGCAGUAUCAGAAAGUUGUCUCGAGUGAAUGUUGAAUUGUUCUUCAAUUUGCCAUAACAGCAACUGCCAAACUGAAAUUGAAGUUUCAACAUCCU